rnacentral:rRNA from 1 species
CCUACGGGGGGCAGCAGUGAGGAAUAUUGGGCAAUGGACGAGAGUCUGAACCAGCAAAGCAGCGUGAAGGAUGACUGCCCUAGGGGUUGUAAACUUCGUGUAUAUGGGAAUAAACUGUUCCACGUGUGGGAUUUUGUAUGUACCAUAUGAAUAAGGAUCGGCUAACUCCGUGCCAGCAGCCGCGGUAAUACGGAGGAACCGAGCGUUAUCCGGAUUUAUUGGGUGUAAAGGGAGCGUAGGUGGAUUGUUAAGUCAGUUGUGAAAGUUUGCGGCUCAACCGUAAGAUUGCAGUUGAAACUGGCAGUCUUGAGUACAGUAGAGGUGGGCGGAAUUCGUGGUGUAGCGGUGAAAUGCUUAGAUAUCACGAAGAACACCGAGUGCGAAGGCAGUUCACUGGACUGCAACUGACACUGAGGCUCGAAAGUGUGGGUAUCAAACAGGAUUAGAUACCCCAGUAGUC